rnacentral:rRNA from 1 species
UCGGGAAUAUUGCGCAAUGGAGGAAACUCUGACGCAGUGACGCCGCGUGCAGGAAGAAGGUUUUUCGGAUUGUAAACUGCUUUUAGACAGGGAAGAAACAAGACAGUACCUGUAGAAUAAGCUCCGGCUAACUACGUGCCAGCAGCCGCGGUAAUACGUAGGGAGCAAGCGUUAUCCGGAUUUAUUGGGUUUAAAGGGUGCGCAGGCGGCGCGCCAAGUCAGCGGUCAAAAGUUCCGGGCUCAACCCCGGUGUCGCCGUUGAAACUGGCGUGCUCGAGUGCGUGCGAGGAAGGCGGAAUGCGUUGUGUAGCGGUGGAAUGCAUAGAUAUGACGCAGAACUCCGAUUGCGAAGGCAGCUUUCCAGCGCGCUACUGACGCUGAGGCACGAAAGCGU